GGCGAACGGGUGCGUAACGCGUAUGCAACCUACCUCCAACUGGGGAAUAGCCCUGGGAAACCGGGAUUAACACCGCAUAAGAUGGUAGAACCGCAUGGUUCAGCCAUUAAAGUUUACGGUUGGAGAUGGGCAUGCGUGCCAUUAGCUAGUUGGCGGGGUAAUAGCCCACCAAGGCGACGAUGGCUAGGGGGUCUGAGAGGAUGAUCCCCCACACUGGUACUGAGAUACGGACCAGACUCCUACGGGAGGCAGCAGUAGGGAAUAUUGGUCAAUGGACGCAAGUCUGAACCAGCCAUGCCGCGUGCAGGAUGAAGGCGCUCUGCGUUGUAAACUGCUUUUGUACGGGAAGAAUAUAUCGUUUGCGAACGGUUUUGACGGUACCGUAAGAAUAAGGAUCGGCUAACUACGUGCCAGCAGCCGCGGUAAUACGUAGGAUCCAAGCGUUGUCCGGAUUUAUUGGGUUUAAAGGGUGCGCAGGCGGCCUGAUAAGUCAGUGGUGAAAGCCCGUUGCUUAACAACGGAAUUGCCAUUGAUACUGUCGGGCUUGAGUACAGUUGAGGUUGGCGGAAUGUAUCAUGUAGCGGUGAAAUGCUUAGAUAUGAUACAGAACACCGAUUGCGAAGGCAGCUGAC
rnacentral:rRNA from 1 species